AGGGACUAAGGUCGGGAAAAGUGACCGAGUCCGGUGGGGACCAAGGUCGGGAAAAUUAACCGAGUCCGUAUAGGACCAAGGUUGGGAAAUAUUGACCGAGUCUGAUUUGGACCAAGGUCGAAAAUUUGUUCUAGUCGGGAUUGGACUAGGAUGGGAAACAUUUGAUCGCGUUCGGGAAAUGAAACAAGAUCGGGAAAAUAGAUUGAGUCCGGUAAUUGGACCAAGAUU
rnacentral:lncRNA from 1 species